UCCCUGGUGGCUCAGAUGGUAAAGCAUCUGCCCACAAAGCAGGAGACCUGGGUUCGAUCCCUGGAUGGGGAA
rnacentral:tRNA from 1 species